AACCCAGAACGGUGGAUCACUCGGCUCGUGGGUCGAUGAAGAACGCAGCAAUUGCGCGUCGACAUGUGAACUGCAGGACACAUGAACAUCGACGUUUCGAACGCACAUUGCGGUCCAUGGAUUUCAGUUCCCGGGCCACGCCUGGCCGAGGGUCG
rnacentral:rRNA from 1 species